GACGAACGCUGGCGGCGUGCUUAACACAUGCAAGUCGAGCGGAAAGGCCCUUCGGGGUCCUCGAGCGGCGAACGGGUGAGUAACACGUGAGUAACCUGCCCCAGACUUUGGGAUAACCCUCGGAAACGGGGGCUAAUACCGGAUACGACACAGCUUCGCAUGGGGUCUGUGUGGAAAGUUUUUCGGUUUGGGAUGGGCUCGCGGCCUAUCAGCUUGUUGGUGGGGUGAUGGCCUACCAAGGCGACGACGGGUAGCCGGCCUGAGAGGGCGACCGGCCACACUGGGACUGAGACACGGCCCAGACUCCUACGGGAGGCAGCAGUGGGGAAUAUUGCACAAUGGGCGGAAGCCUGAUGCAGCGACGCCGCGUGAGGGAUGACGGCCUUCGGGUUGUAAACCUCUUUCAGCAGGGACGAAGCGUAAGUGACAGUACCUGCAGAAGAAGCGCCGGCCAACUACGUG
rnacentral:rRNA from 1 species